UACGGAGGGUGCGAGCGUUGUCCGGAAUCACUGGGCGUAAAGGGCGCGUAGGCGGCCAACUAAGUCCGACGUGAAAUCCCCAGGCUUAACCUGGGAACUGCGUCGGAUACUGGAUGGCUUGAAUCCGGGAGAGGGAUGCGGAAUUCCAGGUGUAGCGGUGAAAUGCGUAGAUAUCUGGAGGAACACCGGUGGCGAAGGCGGCAUCCUGGACCGGCAUUGACGCUGAGGAGCGAAAGCCAGGGGAGCAAACGGG
rnacentral:rRNA from 1 species